rnacentral:misc_RNA from 1 species
GAUGAAGAACGUAGUGAAAUGCGAUAAGUAAUGUGAAUUGCAGAAUUCAGUGAAUCAUCGAAUCUUUGAACGCACAUUGCGCCCCCUGGCAUUCCGGGGGGCAUGCCUGUUCGAGCGUCAUUACAACCCUCAAGCUCUGCUUGGUAUUGGGCUCUGCCGGACCCGGCAGGCCUUAAAAUCAGUGGCGGUGCCACUCGGCUUCAAGCGUAGUAAUUCUUCUCGCUUCGGAGACCCGGGUGCGUGCUAGCCAGCAACCCCCAACUUUCUCAGGUUGACCUCGGAUCAGGUAGGAAUACCAGCUGAACUUAAGCAUAUCAAUAAGCGGAGGA